AACGAACGCUGGCGGCAGGCUUAACACAUGCAAGUCGAACGCCCCGCAAGGGGAGUGGCAGACGGGUGAGUAACGCGUGGGAAUCUACCGUGCCCUACGGAACAACAGUUGGAAACGACUGCCAAUACCGUAUACGCCCUACGGGGGAAAGAUUUAUCGGGGUAUGAUGAGCCCGCGUUGGAUUAGCUAGUCGGUGGGGUAAAGGCCUACCAAGGCGACGAUCCAUAGCUGGUCUGAGAGGAUGAUCAGCCACAUUGGGACUGAGACACGGCCCAAACUCCUACGGGAGGCAGCAGUGGGGAAUAUUGGACAAUGGGCGCAAGCCUGAUCCAGCCAUGCCGCGUGAGUGAUGAAGGUCUUAGGAUUGUAAAGCUCUUUCACCGACGAAGAUAAUGACGGUAGUCGGAGAAGAAGCCCCGGCUAACUUCGUGCCAGCAGCCGCGGUAAGAC
rnacentral:rRNA from 1 species